UAUAGGUAGGUAGAUACCAUUAUUUACUACUAAUUCACUUUUUUUGUACAGGGUUUGAUUGAUAACCAGACACCUGUUAAUAUAUAUAUAUAUAUAGAUACUUACUACUUAUUCAUUUGAAGAGCAACUUUGCUAUUAAGAUAACAGCAUCAUACUUGCACAAUAUAUUAACAUUCAAAUGACAAAAAUUACAUCCUUACUUGUAAUUUUUAUUAUUUCUCAUACAAAUUCAAUGGAUUAUACAUUUCCAAAUGACUUUAUGUUUGGUACUGCAACUGCUGCUUAUCAAAUAGAAGGAGGCUGGAAUGAAGAUGGAAAAGGAGAAAAUAUUUGGGAUCAUUUGGUUCAUACUCGUCCGGAAUUAAUAAAAGAUAGAACAAAUGGAGAUAUUGCCUGCGAUUCCUAUCACAAGUAUAAAGAAGAUGUAGCAUUAGCAAAAAAUUUAAAUGUGAAAUUUUAUCGUUUUUCCAUAUCAUGGGCUCGAAUAGCACCAUCCGGAGUAAUGAAUAAAUUAAAUCAAAAAGGAAUAGCAUACUAUAAUCGUCUUAUUGAUGAACUUAUUAAAAAUAAUAUCGUGCCAAUUGUAACAAUGUAUCAUUGGGAUCUACCUCAAUAUCUACAAGAUCUUGGUGGUUGGGUUAAUCCAAUUAUGUCAGAUUAUUUUAAGGAAUAUGCAAGAGUAUUAUUUACUUAUUAUGGAGACAGAGUAAAAUGGUGGAUUACAAUAAAUGAACCGUUAGAGGUUUCUACAGGUUAUGCUUUUAAUGCUUUGGCACCAUACUUGCGUUUAAACAAUGCUGGGUAUUAUUUGGCGGGCCAUACACAACUUAUUGCCCAUGGAAAAGCUUAUAGGUUGUAUGAAGAGAUAUUUAAAUCCACUCAACAAGGAAAAAUAAGCAUUUCAAUAAGUGGAUUAUUUUUUUUACCAAAAAAUGCUGAGUCUUUAGAUGACAUAGAUACUGCUGAAAGAGCCAAUCAAUUUGAUAGGGGAUGGUUCAGCCAUCCAGUGUACAAAGGAGACUAUCCACCAAUAAUGAGACAAUGGAUAGAUAAAAAAAGUAAAGAAGAAAGUAGUCCAUGGUCAAUACUACCAACAUUUACAGAAGAUGAAAUUAAAUUAAUUAAAGGAACUGCUGAUUUUUAUGCUUUCAAUCAUUAUUCUUCUCGUUUGGUAACUCAGGAAAGUGGUGAUCCAGAUUCUUAUUAUAAUUCAAUCGCAAAUUAUUAUGCAUCUGUUGAUGAAUCAUGGCUCAAAGUCAUCUCCUGCAUCGUGGCUAAUAACAGCACCUGUUGGAUUAAAAAAACUUUUGGUAUGGAUAAAAAAUGAAUAUGGUAAUCCACCUAUGUUUAUAACAGAAAAUGGGUUUGGAGAUAAUGGUCAAUUGGAUGAUUUAGAUAGAAUAAGCUACAUAAAGGGCUAUUUAAAUGCAACAUUACAAGCAAUACACGAAGAUAAUUGCAAUGUUAUAGGAUUUACUAUAUGGUCACUCUUGGAUAAUUUUGAGUGGAUGGAUGGUUUUGCAAUUCAUUUUGGACUUGUUAAGGUAGAUUUUAAUGAUCCUGAGAGAACUCGUACCCCAAAAGCGUCAUAUACAUUUUUCAAAAAUGUGGUAACUACUGGUCGAUUGAUAACUAAUUCUUUUAGUAAAAUGUCUGAAUUGUGAAACAAAAAACAUUCACAUUUGCUAUAUUAUUAAUAUUUAUAUUUAAUUAUUAUAAAAAUGUAUAUUUUUAUCAUAUUAUAUUAUAUUAUUGUUAUGAACUUUCGAGUCAAUACUUUGUUACUGUGGUGUAGUGGGAAUAGAUUCAUGGUGUAAACAUGUAAUAGCUUAAAAUUAAUCUAAAUAUCAAUUGAAAAUGUCAUUAUUAAUAGUAAACUUCAUAAUAUACAAUAUACAAGUUUUAAAACCCCGCG
rnacentral:misc_RNA from 1 species